rnacentral:rRNA from 1 species
CCUACGGGUGGCAGCAGUGAGGAAUCUUCGUCAAUGGGCGCGAGCCUGAACCAGCCAAGUCGCGUGAAUGAUGACUGCCCUACGGGUUGUAAACUUCUUUUAUAAAGGAAUAAAGUGAGGCUCGUGUCCCUUUUUGUUUUUAUUUUAUGAAUAUGGAUCGGCUAACUCCGUGCCAGCCGCCGCGGUAAUACGGAGGAUCCGAGCGUUAUCCGGAUUUAUUGGGUUUAAAGGGAGCGUAGGUGGGUUGUUAAGUCAGUUGUGAAAGUUUGCGGCUCAACCGUACAAUUGCAAUUGAUACUGGCGGCCUUGAGUGCAGUUGAGGUAGGCGGAAUUCGUGGUGUAGCGGUGAAAUGCUUAGAUAUAACGAAGAACUCCGAUGGCGAAGGCAGCCUACUAAACUGCCACUGACAUUGAGGCUCGAAAGUGUGGGUAGCAAACAGGAUUAGAUACCCUAGUAGUC